UUCCUGGAGGACUAGUGGUUAGGCCUUGGCGCUCUCACUGGCGUGGCUUGGGUUCGAUUCCCAGCCAGGGAA
rnacentral:tRNA from 1 species